AGUCGGACGGCAGCGGGGUAGUGCUUGCACUACUGCCGGCGAGUGGCGAACGGGUGAGUAACAUAUCGGAACGUACCGAGCAGUGGGGGAUAACUAAUCGAAAGAUUAGCUAAUACCGCAUAUAUUCUAAGGAAGAAAGCAGGGGACCUUUGGGCCUUGCGCUGUUUGAGCGGCCGAUAUCUGAUUAGCUGGUUGGUGGGGUAAAGGCCUACCAAGGCGACGAUCAGUAGCGGGUCUGAGAGGAUGAUCCGCCACACUGGGACUGAGACACGGCCCAGACUCCUACGGGAGGCAGCAGUGGGGAAUUUUGGACAAUGGGGGCAACCCUGAUCCAGCCAUGCCGCGUGUCUGAAGAAGGCCUUCGGGUUGUAAAGGACUUUUGUCCGGGAAGAAAAGCGCGAUGUUAAUACCAUUGCGUGCUGACGGUACCGGAAGAAUAAGCACCGGCUAA
rnacentral:rRNA from 1 species